AGGAGGAACAACCGCAGUGUCGGGGCCAGCUCUGGAGCCCUAGAGUCAGCCCCCGCAGGAACUCCGGAGCUCUCCGUCUGCAGGGCCUGGAGGCUCCAGGGCGGG
rfam:Canis lupus familiaris chromosome 14, whole genome shotgun sequence.